UAGGACAAUGGAGGCACAGAAACACAAAGG
rnacentral:piRNA from 1 species